rnacentral:rRNA from 1 species
UGGCGGCACGCCUAACACAUKCAAGUCGAACGGAGAUAUUUUGGUUUAMUGAGAUAUCUUAGUGGCGGACGGGUGAGUAACACGUGAGCAACCUGCCUCUGAGAGAGGGAUAGCUUCUGGAAACGGAUGGUAAUACCUCAUAACAUAACGAAGCCGCAUGACUUUGUUAUCAAAGAUUUAUCACUCAGAGAUGGGCUCGCGUYUGAUUAGAUAGUUGGUGAGGUAACGGCUCACCAAGUCGACGAUCAGUAGCCGGACUGAGAGGUUGAACGGCCACAUUGGGACUGAGACACGGCCCAGACUCCUACGGGAGGCAGCAGUGGGGAAUAUUGYWCAAUGGGGGAAACCCUGAUGCAGCGAUGCCGCGUGGAGGAAGAAGGUUUUCGGAUUGUAAACUCCUGUCUAAAGGACGAUAAUGAACGG